ACGCUCGACACCUACGGAGGCAGCAGUGGGGAAUAUUGCACAAUGGGGGAAACCCUGAUGCAGCGACGCCGCGUGGAGGAAGAAGGUCUUCGGAUUGUAAACUCCUGUUGUUGGGGAAAAAGAGGAUGGUACCCAACAAGGAAGUGACGGCUAACUACGUGCCAGCACGCCGAACGGUAAUCUGAGGCCGGGCGUGGACGAAGGC
rnacentral:rRNA from 1 species